rnacentral:rRNA from 1 species
GAUGAACGCUAGCGGCAGGCCUAAUACAUGCAAGUCGAACGGUGUCUUCGGACAUAGUGGCGCACGGGUGCGUAACACGUAUGCAACCUACCUUACAUUGGGGGAUAGCCUUUCGAAAGGGAGAUUAAUACCGCAUAAGACAGUAACUAGGCAUCUAGUAGCUGUUAAAGAUUUAUCGAUGUAAGCUGGGCAUGCGUCCAAUUAGCUAGUUGGUGAGGUAACGGCUCACCAAGGCAACGAUUGGUAGGGGAACUGAGAGGUCAAUCCCCCACACUGGCACUGAGAUACGGGCCAGACUCCUAUGGGAGGCAGCAGUAGGGAAUAUUGGGCAAUGGACGCAAGUCUGACCCAGCCAUGCCGCGUGCAGGAUGAAGGCGUUAUGCGUUGUAAACUGCUUUUAUACAGGAAGAAACGACUCUUGCGAGAGGCAUUGACGGUACUGUAUGAAUAAGCACCGGCUAACUCCGUGCCAGCCGCCGCCGUAACAC